AUCACCCUCCCGGAACCAAUUCCCCAUUAAUUUCAUUUGAACUUAAUAUUUUGUAGUACAAAAUCACAACAAAAUGUAUCACAUAAUAACCUGCUUCUUCAAUGCAAACUCCGGCAAAUUCGAGAGUGCCAGAAACCUCUCCCGAUGCUAGAUUCAAAAGAGCCAGCUCUCUCCAAAAGGGUUACCCUACCACUGGAAUUUUUUUUUUGUUUUCAUUCUUUUCCUUUUCCCCAUUUUUAUACUACUUAUUUUUCUUCACAUGUUUUAUGACUUUAUUCCACAGUUGGCCACCUCAUCACAGAAUGCCAAGAUCCUAACAGACUGCGAUCUUGCGGCUGUUCCCUAUAAAUGUUUCACUCAGGCAUUUAUGAUAUGAAGAAGAAGUUGUGGACUCCAAAGCCCAGGUCACUGCAAUACAUCUGAUAAUUGGAUCUCUUUCAGACGAUGAAUAUCUUUAGCGUUGAGAUUCGGGAUACUCUCAUGCACAAGGCUACAGGGCAAGGUUGUUAAAGAAGCCUGAUCAAUGUCGAGCAGUUUAUGCAUGUUCACAUCUGUUUUGGGUUGAUGGUCCAGAUGGCCUUGAAGAUGGAGAAAGGGUCCUACUUUGUCUAAAGCGUGCCUUGAGGAUUGCAAAUUCUGCUCAACAAAUGGCCAAGGUUACACGGGGUAGGGUAGCACUGGGCCUGUCAUAAUUUUUGUUGAAAUACUAAACAAGUCAGUGGCUUUAAAAUACUAAACAACUUGGAUCGUCUGUGGUGUGGUGUGGAACGCAUUCUUAGUAGCAGUGAUUAAAAUUAUGAUAGAUAGACUGGUAAUGACACAAAUAUCAUUGCUGCAUUACAGCAGUGCUUAUGGCAGUGCUGUGAUUAAUUUCCGAUAUUGAAAUCGUACUCUUAUCCCGACGUCUCACCAAUACCUGUUUUACUAUUUCCUGAAAAAGGGACAUUAUAAUUUAUUAACAUAAACCAGAAAAUUUGUUCUAUAACUAACUGACAGCUGAUUAGUCUUUCCUUCUGUU